AUUCCAGCUCCAAUAGCGUAUAUUAAAGUUGUUGCAGUUAAAAAGCUCGUAGUUGGAUCUCAGGGUGAGCUCAGUUGGUCGGCCUAAUUGGUCAGAACUGGCUGACUCUCCCUUGUUUCUGAAUCCCGGUCGGAGUUAAUUCUUCGUUCGUGGACUUCAGAUCGUUUACCUUGAAAAAACUAGAGUGUUCAAAGCGGGCGUUUGCUUGAAUACAUUAGCAUGGAAUAAUGGAAUAGGACCCUGGUUCUAUUUUGUUGGUUUUGAGGACCAGAGUAAUGAUUAAUAGGGAUAGUUGGGGGCAUUCAUAUUUAAUUGUCAGAGGUGAAAUUCUUGGAUUUUGGAAAGAUGAACUACUGCGAAGGCAUUUACCAAGGAUGUUUCAUCG
rnacentral:rRNA from 1 species